GGACCCGCACAAGUAGUGGAGCAUGUGGUUUAAUUCGAAGAUACGCGCAGAACCUUACCAACACUUGACAUGUUCGUCGCGACUUUAAGAGAUUAAAGUUUUCGGUUCGGCCGGACGAAACACAGGUGCUGCAUGGCUGUCGUCAGCUCGUGUCGUGAGAUGUUGGGUUAAGUCCCGCAACGAGCGCAACCCUCACUUUUAGUUGCCAUCAUUUAGUUGGGCACUCUGAAAGAACUGCCAGUGAUAAGCUGGAGGAAGGUGGGGAUGACGUCAAGUCCUCAUGGCCCUUACGUGUUGGGCUACACACGUGCUACAAUGGUAUCUACAACAGGAAGCAAAACUGCGAGGUUAAGCAAAUCCUUAAAAGAUACCUCAGUUCGGAUUGCACUCUGCAACUCGAGUGCAUGAAGCUGGAAUUACUAGUAAUCG
rnacentral:rRNA from 1 species